rnacentral:rRNA from 1 species
UUAAGCGACUAAGCGUACACGGUGGAUGCCCUGGCAGUCAGAGGCGAUGAAGGACGUGCUAAUCUGCGAAAAGCGUCGGUAAGGUGAUAUGAACCGUUAUAACCGGCGAUGUCCGAAUGGGGAAACCCAGUGCAAUUCGUUGCACUAUCGUUAACUGAAUACAUAGGUUAACGAGGCGAACCGGGGGAACUGAAACAUCUAAGUACCCCGAGGAAAAGAAAUCAACCGAGAUUCCCCCAGUAGCGGCGAGCGAACGGGGAGCAGCCCAGAGUCUGAAUCAGCUUGUGUGUUAGUGGAACGGUCUGGAAAGUCCGACGGUACAGGGUGAUAGUCCCGUACACCAAAAUGCACAGGCUGUGAACUCGAAGAGUAGGGCGGGACACGUGGUAUCCUGUCUGAAUAUGGGGGGACCAUCCUCCAAGGCUAAAUACUCCUGACUGACCGAUAGUGAACCAGUACCGUGAGGGAAAGGCGAAAAGAACCCCGGCGAGGGGAGUGAAAAAGAACCUGAAACCGUGUACGUACAAGCAGUGGGAGCACCUUCGGGUGUGACUGCGUACCUUUUGUAUAAUGGGUCAGCGACUUAUAUUCUGUAGCAAGGUUAACCGUAUAGGGGAGCCGCAGGGAAACCGAGUCUUAACUGGGCGUUAAGUUGCAGGGUAUAGACCCGAAACCCGGUGAUCUAGCCAUGGGCAGGUUGAAGGUUGGGUAACACUAACUGGAGGACCGAACCGACUAAUGUUGAAAAAUUAGCGGAUGACUUGUGGCUGGGGGGGAAAGGCCAAUCAAACCGGGAGAUAGCUGGUUCUCCCCGAAAGCUAUUUAGGUAGCGCCUCGUGAACUCAUCUUCGGGGGUAGAGCACUGUUUCGGCUAGGGGGUCAUCCCGACUUACCAACCCGAUGCAAACUACGAAUACCGAAGAAUGUUAUCACGGGAGACACACGGCGGGUGCUAACGUCCGUCGUGAAGAGGGAAACAACCCAGACCGCCAGCUAAGGUCCCAAAGUCAUGGUUAAGUGGGAAACGAUGUGGGAAGGCACAGACAGCCAGGAUGUUGGCUUAGAAGCAGCCAUCAUUUAAAGAAAGCGUAAUAGCUCACUGGUCGAGUCGGCCUGCGCGGAAGAUGUAACGGGGCUAAACCAUGCACCGAAGCUGCGGCAGCGACACUAUGUGUUGUUGGGUAGGGGAGCGUUCUGUAAGCCUGCGAAGGUGUGCUGUGAGGCAUGCUGGAGGUAUCAGAAGUGCGAAUGCUGACAUAAGUAACGAUAAAGCGGGUGAAAAGCCCGCUCGCCGGAAGACCAAGGGUUCCUGUCCAACGUUAAUCGGGGCAGGGUGAGUCGACCCCUAAGGCGAGGCCGAAAGGCGUAGUCGAUGGGAAACAGGUUAAUAUUCCUGUACUUGGUGUUACUGCGAAGGGGGGACGGAGAAGGCUAUGUUAGCCGGGCGACGGUUGUCCCGGUUUAAGCAUGUAGGCUGAUUGUCCAGGCAAAUCCGGAUAAUCAAGGCUGAGGUGUGAUGACGAGGCACUACGGUGCUGAAGUAACAAAUGCCCUGCUUCCAGGAAAAGCCUCUAAGCAUCAGGUAACAUCAAAUCGUACCCCAAACCGACACAGGUGGUCAGGUAGAGAAUACCAAGGCGCUUGAGAGAACUCGGGUGAAGGAACUAGGCAAAAUGGUGCCGUAACUUCGGGAGAAGGCACGCUGGUGUGUAGGUGAAGUCCCUGCGGAUGGAGCUGAGACCAGUCGAAGAUACCAGCUGGCUGCAACUGUUUAUUAAAAACACAGCACUGUGCAAACACGAAAGUGGACGUAUACGGUGUGACGCCUGCCCGGUGCCGGAAGGUUAAUUGAUGGGGUUAUCCGUAAGGAGAAGCUCUUGAUCGAAGCCCCGGUAAACGGCGGCCGUAACUAUAACGGUCCUAAGGUAGCGAAAUUCCUUGUCGGGUAAGUUCCGACCUGCACGAAUGGCGUAAUGAUGGCCAGGCUGUCUCCACCCGAGACUCAGUGAAAUUGAACUCGCUGUGAAGAUGCAGUGUACCCGCGGCAAGACGGAAAGACCCCGUGAACCUUUACUAUAGCUUGACACUGAACAUUGAGCCUUGAUGUGUAGGAUAGGUGGGAGGCUUUGAAGCGUGGACGCCAGUCUGCGUGGAGCCAACCUUGAAAUACCACCCUUUAAUGUUUGAUGUUCUAACGUUGGCCCCUGACCGGGGUUGCGGACAGUGUCUGGUGGGUAGUUUGACUGGGGCGGUCUCCUCCCAAAGCGUAACGGAGGAGCACGAAGGUUAGCUAAUCCUGGUCGGACAUCAGGAGGUUAGUGCAAUGGCAUAAGCUAGCUUGACUGCGAGCGUGACGGCGCGAGCAGGUGCGAAAGCAGGUCAUAGUGAUCCGGUGGUUCUGAAUGGAAGGGCCAUCGCUCAACGGAUAAAAGGUACUCCGGGGAUAACAGGCUGAUACCGCCCAAGAGUUCAUAUCGACGGCGGUGUUUGGCACCUCGAUGUCGGCUCAUCACAUCCUGGGGCUGAAGUAGGUCCCAAGGGUAUGGCUGUUCGCCAUUUAAAGUGGUACGCGAGCUGGGUUUAGAACGUCGUGAGACAGUUCGGUCCCUAUCUGCCGUGGGCGCUGGAGAAUUGAGGGGGGCUGCUCCUAGUACGAGAGGACCGGAGUGGACGCAUCACUGGUGUUCGGGUUGUCAUGCCAAUGGCACUGCCCGGUAGCUAAAUGCGGAAGAGAUAAGUGCUGAAAGCAUCUAAGCACGAAACUUGCCCCGAGAUGAGUUCUCCCUGAGACUAUAAGUCUCCUGAAGGAACGUUAAAGACGAUGACGUUGAUAGGCCGGGUGUGUAAGCGCAGCGAUGCGUUGAGCUAACCGGUACUAAUGAACCGUGAGGCUUAACCUU